AACGAACGCUGGCGGCAGGCUUAACACAUGCAAGUCGAGCGCCCCGAAAGGGGAGCGGCAGACGGGUGAGUAACACGUGGGAACGUACCUUUUGCUGCGGAAUAGCUCUGGGAAACUGGAAUUAAUACCGCAUACGCCCUACGGGGGAAAGAUUUAUCGGGGAUGGAUGAGCCCGAGUUGGAUUAGCUAGUUGGUGGGGUAAAGGCCUACGAAGGCGACGAUCCAUAGCUGGUCUGAGAGGAUGAUCAGCCACAUUGGGGCUGAGACACGGCCCAAACUCCUACGGGAGGCAGCAGUGGGGAAUAUUGGACAAUGGGCGCAAGCCUGAUCCAGCCAUGCCGCGUGAGUGAUGAAGGCCUUAGGGUUGUAAAGCUCUUUCACCGAUGAAGAUAAUGACGGUAGUCGGAGAAGAAGCCCCGGCUAACUUCGUGCCAGCAGCCGCAGUAAUAC
rnacentral:rRNA from 1 species